rnacentral:rRNA from 1 species
UAGCUUAGCAUAUUCUAUUAAUAAAAUUCCACAACACCCCACGAACCCGACACCACAAUUGAAUAACUCUAUAGAUUAUAGAAGAUAUGAUGCUAAAACUAGUAACAAGAAAAAGACCUUUCUCCAAAAUAUAAGUGUAUGUCAAAACGAACUCAUCAUUGACACCUAACGCCCUUGAGCCCAAGAUAAUAACCCACCAAGAAAACCUUAUUACACAAUGACGUUAACCUAACACAAGAAUAUUUCUGGAAAGAUUAAAAGAGGGAGAAGGAACUCGGCAAAUCUAAGCCCCGCCUGUUUACCAAAAACAUCGCCUCUUGAAUAGAUAUAAGAGGUCCAGCCUGCCCAGUGAUACAAUUUAACGGCCGCGGUAUACUGACCGUGCGAAGGUAGCAUAAUCACUUGUUCUUUAAAUGGGGACUAGUAUGAACGGCACCACGAGGGCUUUACUGUCUCCUCCCUCCAAUCAGUGAAACUGACCUCCCUGUGAAGAGGCAGGGAUACCACUAUAAGACGAGAAGACCCCAUGGAGCUUUAAACCCAACAACAGCCCAAACACCACCACCCCAAAAAGUUUUAAGGGUAUUGCUAGUUGGUUUUAGGUUGGGGUGACCGCGGAGUAUAAACUAUCCUCCACGACGAACGGGCCUACCCCCUUACCCAAGAGCUACGCCUCUAAGGAUUAACACAUUAACGUAAAAUGAUCCAAAUAUUUGAUCAACGAACCAAGUUACCCUGGGGAUAACAGCGCAAUCCAUUUUUAGAGCCCCUAUCGACAAAUGGGUUUACGACCUCGAUGUUGGAUCAGGGUAUCCAGGAGGUGCAGCCGCUUCCAAUGGUUUGUUUGUUCAACAAUUAAAACCCUACGUGAUCUG